rnacentral:rRNA from 1 species
GACGAACGCUGGCGGCGUGCUUAACACAUGCAAGUCGAACGGUGAAGCGCCUUCCUUUUUGGUGGGUGUGGAUGAGUGGCGAACGGGUGAGUAACACGUGAGUAACCUGCCCCCUUCUUCUGGAUAACCGCAUGAAAGUGUGGCUAAUACGGGAUAUUCUGGGUCUGUCGCAUGAUGGGUCUGGGAAAGAUAUUGUUUCGGUGGGGGAUGGGCUCGCGGCCUAUCAGCUUGUUGGUGGGGUGAUGGCCUACCAAGGCGGUGACGGGUAGCCGGCCUGAGAGGGUGGGCGGUCACACUGGGACUGAGACACGGCCCAGACUCCUACGGGAGGCAGCAGUGGGGAAUAUUGCACAAUGGGCGCAAGCCUGAUGCAGCGACGCCGCGUGAGGGAUGGAGGCCUUCGGGUUAUGAACCUCUUUCGCCAGUGAAGCAGGCCUGCCUCGUUUGUGGGUGGGUUGACGGUAGCUGGAUAAGAAGCGCCGGCUAACUACGUG